rnacentral:rRNA from 1 species
CCUACGGGAGGCUGCAGUGGGGGAUAUUGCACAAUGGGGGGAACCCUGAUGCAGCGACGCCGCGUGGGUGAAGAAGCGCCUCGGCGCGUAAAGCUCUGUUAGUAGGGAAGAAAAUGACGGUACCUGAAGAAGAAGCCCCGGCUAACUACGUGCCAGCAGCCGCGGGAAUACGUAGGGGGCAAGCGUUAUCCGGAUUUACUGGGGGUAAAGGGGGCGCAGGCGGGGUUGCAAGCCAGGAGUGAAAGCCCGGGGCCCAACCCCGGGAGUGCUGUUGGAACUGCGUGGCUGGAGUGCAGGAGGGGCAGGCGGAAUUCCUGGUGUAGCGGUGAAAUGCGUAGAUAUCAGGAGGAACACCGGUGGCGAAGGCAGCCUGCUGGACUGCAACUGACGUUGAGGCCCGAAAGCGUGGGGAGCAAACAGGAUUAGAUACCCCUGUAGUC